rnacentral:lncRNA from 1 species
GCGGUGGUGACGGCGGUGCCGGAGGUUGUCCUUGGCAGGUUUUCCUCGGCGCUUUUCCAUGGAGGAGGCGGUGCGAACGGCUUCAGCCCCGAAUGCUCGCAUCUCCCACUGGACGGCGACGAAGGCGGUGGCCGUGCGAGCGCAGGACUGGGCGGCCUGUGUGGGGGUGUGAGCCGCGGUGCCCCAGGCUGCGCCGGCGAGGGGAAGCCGCGCGGCCGGCCGGCCGACUAGGGCUGGAGCUACUCGGCCAGGGUUUAAGACUUUAAAUGAGAAUAAAGGGUGGUAUUUACGAGGAAAUGAGAGUGAAUAAGUCAUCUCUAACCUCUCCCAGCCUUUUUUUCAUAAGAGAGACCAUAUUAAACUUACAUGCUCUCCCGGCUGUGAUAGACCUUCAGUUACAGAGAGAGGGAGCAGAGUGGGACCAGGUCUGAGAAUAGUGAAGCAACUCAUUCCUUUCAGGACAUUCCCUCUGAUGUCCUAUUUUCAAACUGUUUGAAGACUGCUUCAUUCUGCCUCUAGUACCAGCGGUUUCUCUGUUCUGUGAUCAAUGUGAUUCACAGGAACUCCUUAAGUAACAAACGAAAUGAGCCAGGGGCGUGGAAAAUAUGACUUCUAUAUUGGUCUGGGAUUGGCUAUGAGCUCCAGCAUUUUCAUUGGAGGAAGUUUCAUUUUGAAAAAAAAAGGCCUCCUUCGACUUGCCAGGAAAGGCUCUAUGAGAGCAGGUCAAGGUGGCCAUGCAUAUCUUAAGGAAUGGUUGUGGUGGGCUGGACUGCUGUC